rnacentral:rRNA from 1 species
UACGGAGGGUGCAAGCGUUAUCCGGAUUCACUGGGUUUAAAGGGUGCGUAGGCGGGCAGGUAAGUCAGUGGUGAAAUCUCCGGGCUUAACCCGGAAACUGCCGUUGAUACUAUCUGUCUUGAAUAUUGUGGAGGUAAGCGGAAUAUGUCAUGUAGCGGUGAAAUGCUUAGAUAUGACAUAGAACACCAAUUGCGAAGGCAGCUCGCUACACAUAUAUUGACUCUGAGGCACGAAAGCGUGGGGAUCAAACAGG